rnacentral:rRNA from 1 species
GACGAACGCUGGCGGCGUGCCUAAUACAUGCAAGUUGAGCGCUGAAGGUUGGUACCUGUCCCAACUGGAUGAGCAGCGAACGGGUGAGUAACGCGUGGGGAAUCUGCCUUUGAGCGGGGGACAACAUUUGGAAACGAAUGCUAAUACCGCAUAAAAACUUUAAACACAAGUUUUAAGUUUGAAAGAUGCAAUUGCAUCACUCAAAGAUGAUCCCGCGUUGUAUUAGCUAGUUGGUGAGGUAAAGGCUCACCAAGGCGAUGAUACAUAGCCGACCUGAGAGGGUGAUCGGCCACAUUGGGACUGAGACACGGCCCAAACUCCUACGGGAGGCAGCAGUAGGGAAUCUUCGGCAAUGGACGAAAGUCUGACCGAGCAACGCCGCGUGAGUGAAGAAGGUUGUCGGAUCGUAAAACUCUGUUGGUAGAGAAGAACGUUGGUGAGAGUGGAAAGCUCAUCAAGUGACGGUAACUACACAGAAAGGGACGGCUAACUACGUG